GAACCGCCCCCCGGCGGGCCGAAACCGGCCAAACCGGCAAAACCGCCCCGAUCAUGCCCGUUUUUCGGCGUUCAAACCGCCGCGCGGCUACCCCCCCAUCCCGAUGCCCCCGGACCCCUGGUCCCGUGGGACCUGACGGAAACGGAAUCGGAUGCCCGGAUCAUGAGAUACGCCCAAAACCGUCUAAACCUACUGAGCGCACCCCGAACAUGCCCAUUUUUCGGCGUUCAAACCGCCGCGCGGCUACCCCCCCAUCCCGAUGCCCCCGGAACCCUGGUCCCGCGGGACCCGACGGAAACGGAAUCGGAGGCCCGGAUCAUGAGUUACGGCCCCUUCUUUGCGGCCCCCGAGGACGUGCGCUAUAGCCCCCCGGGCCACCCCCCAUCCGGCCGCACCCGCCCGAACCCCACCGAACGCGUCCGCCGCCUCCCGAUCCCGCCCCGCGGUCCCCCCCGGGGCAUGAACCGCCCCCCGGCGGGCCGAAACCGGCCAAACCGGCAAAACCGCCACGAUCAUGCCCGUUUUUCGGCGUUCAAACCGCCGCGCGGCUACCCCCCCAUCCCGAUGCCCCCGGACCCCUGGUCCCGUGGGACCUGACGGAAACGGAAUCGGAUGCCCGGAGCAUGAGAUACGCCCAAAACCGUCUAAACCUACUGAGCGCACCCCGAACAUGCCCAUUUUUCGGCGUUCAAACCGCCGCGCGGCUACCCCCCCAUCCCGAUGCCCCCGGAACCCUGGUCCCGCGGGACCCGACGGAAACGGAAUCGGAGGCCCGGAUCAUGAGUUACGGCCCCUUCUUUGCGGCCCCCGAGGACGUGCGCUAUAGCCCCCCGGGCCACCCCCCAUCCGGCCGCACCCGCCCGAACCCCACCGAACGCGUCCGCCGCCUCCCGAUCCCGCCCCGCGGUCCCCCCCGGGGCAUGAACCGCCCCCCGGCGGGCCGAAACCGGCCAAACCGGCUAAACCGCCCCGAUCAUGCCCAUUUUUCGGCGUUCAAACCGCCGCACGGCUACCCCCCCAUCCCGAUGCCCCCGGACCCCUGGUCCCGUGGGACCUGACGGAAACGGAAUCGGAUGCCCGGAUCAUGAGAUACGCCCAAAACCGUCUAAACCUAUUUUUCGGCGUUCAAACCGCCCCGCGGCUACCCCCCCAUCCCGAGGCCCCCGGAACCCUGGUCCCGCGGGACCCGACGGAAACGGAAUCGGAGGCCCGGAUCAUGAGUUACGGCCCCUUCUUUGCGGCCCCCGAGGACGUGCGCUAUAGCCCCCCGGGCCACCCCCCAUCCGGCCGCACCCGCCCGAACCCCACCGAACGCGUCCGCCGCCUCCCGAUCCCGCCCCGCGGUCCCCCCCGGGGCAUGAACCGCCCCCCGGCGGGCCGAAACCGGCCAAACCGGCAAAACCGCCCCGAUCAUGCCCGUUUUUCGGCGUUCAAACCGCCGCGCGGCUACCCCCUCAUCCCGAUGCCCCCGGACCCCUGGUCCCGUGGGACCUGACGGAAACGGAAUCGGAUGCCCGGAUCAUGAGAUACGCCCAAAACCGUCUAAACCUACUGAGCGCACCCCGAACAUGCCCAUUUUUCGACGUUCAAACCGCCGCGCGGCUACCCCCCCAUCCCGAUGCCCCCGGAACCCUGGUCCCGCGGGACCCGACGGAAACGGAAUCGGAGGCCCGGAUCAUGAGUUACGGCCCCUUCUUUGCGGCCCCCGAGGACGUGCGCUAUAGCCCCCCGGGCCACCCCCCAUCCGGCCGCACCCGCCCGAACCCCACCGAACGCGUCCGCCGCCUCCCGAUCCCGCCCCGCGGUCCCCCCCGGGGCAUGAACCGCCCCCCGGCGGGCCGAAACCGGCAAAACCGGCUAAACCGCCCCGAUCAUGCCCAUUUUUCGGCGUUCAAACCGCCGCACGGCUACCCCCCCAUCCCGAUGCCCCCGGACCCCUGGUCCCGUGGGACCUGACGGAAACGGAAUCGGAUGCUCGGAUCAUGAGAUACGCCCAAAACCGUCUAAACCUACUGAGCGCACCCCGAACAUGCCCAUUUUUCGGCGUUCAAACCGCCGCGCGGCUACCCCCCCAUCCCGAUGCCCCCGGAACCCUGGUCCCGCGGGACCCGACGGAAACGGAAUCGGAGGCCCGGAUCAUGAGUUACGGCCCCUUCUUUGCGGCCCCCGAGGACGUGCGCUAUAGCCCCCCGGGCCACCCCCCAUCCGGCCGCACCCGCCCGAACCCCACCGAACGCGUCCGCCGCCUCCCGAUCCCGCCCCGCGGUCCCCCCCGGGGCAUGAACCGCCCCCCGGCGGGCCGAAACCGGCCAAACCGGCUAAACCGCCCCGAUCAUGCCCAUUUUUCGGCGUUCAAACCGCCGCACGGCUACCCCCCCAUCCCGAUGCCCCCGGACCCCUGGUCCCGUGGGACCUGACGGAAACGGAAUCGGAUGCUCGGAUCAUGAGAUACGCCCAAAACCGUCUAAACCUACUGAGCGCACCCCGAACAUACCCAUUUUUCGGCGUUCAAACCGCCGCGCGGCUACCCCCCCAUCCCGAUGCCCCCGGAACCCUGGUCCCGCGGGACCCGACGGAAACGGAAUCGGAGGCCCGGAUCAUGAGUUACGGCCCCUUCUUUGCGGCCCCCGAGGACGUGCGCUAUUGCCCCCCGGGCCACCCCCCAUCCGGCCGCACCCGCCCGAACCCCACCGAACGCGUCCGCCGCCUCCCGAUCCCGCCCCGCGGUCUCCCCCGGGGCGUGAACCGCCCCCCGGCGGGCCGAAACCGGCCAAACCGGCUAAACCGCCCCGAUCAUGCCCAUUUAUCGGCGUUCAAACCGCCGCACGGCUACCCCCUCAUCCCGAUGACCCCGGACCCCUGGUCCCGUGGGACCUGACGGAAACGGAAUCGGAUGCUCGGAUCAUGAGAUACGCCCAAAACCGUCUAAACCUACUGAGCGCACCCCGAACAUGCCCAUUUUUCGGCGUUCAAACCGCCGCGCGGCUACCCCCCCAUCCCGAUGCCCCCGGAACCCUGGUCCCGCGGGACCCGACGGAAACGGAAUCGGAGGCCCGGAUCAUGAGUUACGGCCCGUUCUUUGCGGCCCCCGAGGACGUGCGNNNNNNNNNNNNNNNNNNNNNNNNNNNNNNNNNNNNNNNNNNNNNNNNNNNNNNNNNNNNNNNNNNNNNNNNNNNNNNNNNNNNNNNNNNNNNNNNNNNNCGCGGUCCCCCCCGGGGCAUGAACCGCCCCCCGGCGGGCCGAAACCGGCCAAACCGGCAAAACCGCCCCGAUCAUGCCCGUUUUUCGGCGUUCAAACCGCCGCGCGGCUACCCCCCCAUCCCGAUGCCCCCGGACUCCUGGUCCCGUGGGACCUGACGGAAACGGAAUCGGAUGCCCGGAUCAUGAGAUACGCCCAAAACCGUCUAAACCUACUGAGCGCACCCCAAACAUGCCCAUUUUUCGGCGUUCAAACCGCCGCGCGGCUACAACCCCAUCCCGAUGCCCCCGGAACCCUGGUCCCGCGGGACCCGACGGAAACGGAAUCGGAGGCCCGGAUCAUGAGUUACGGCCCCUUCUUUGCGGCCCCCGAGGACGUGCGCUAUAGCCCCCCGGGCCACCCCCCAUCCGGCCGCACCCGCCCGAACCCCACCGAACGCGUCCGCCGCCUCCCGAUACCGCCCCGCGGUCCCCCCCGGGGCAUGAACCGCCCCCCGGCGGGCCGAAACCGGCCAAACCGGCAAAACCGCCCCGAUCAUGCCCGUUUUUCGGCGUUCAAACCGCCGCGCGGCUACCCCCCCAUCCCGAUGCCCCCGGACCCCUGGUCCCGUGGGACCUGACGGAAACGGAAUCGGAUGCCCGGAGCAUGAGAUACGCCCAAAACCGUCUAAACCUACUGAGCGCACCCCGAACAUGCCCAUUUUUCGGCGUUCAAACCGCCGCGCAGCUACCCCCCCAUCCCGAUGCCCCCGGAACCCUGGUCCCGCGGGACCCGACGGAAACGGAAUCGGAGGCCCGGAUCAUGAGUUACGGCCCCUUCUUUGC
rnacentral:lncRNA from 1 species